CUAAAACUCAGUUUCUGAACACUGUUCAUUAACAGUGAUUUGACGAAUUUGCCCCUCGGUUUCUUCUUGAUCUCCCGUUGUGCUGCCUCUUUUACACAGUGAAAUGACCACUUUGUCCUGGCUGGCCACGCAUUCUUCAUCAAUGGCCUUUCCUGUUGGAUUUCUCUGUUGUUUCAUUCUCUGCCUUCCAUUUCCUGCAAUCGCUUUUUUUUUUCUCAGCUCCACGUCUACACGUGUUGGUCAUCGUGGAAAGAAAAGUGGUGGAAAGCCGACGAAAGCAGUGGAAAAACCCAUUUUCUUUUCCAUUCGCUAAUCUCAGAAAGGGCAUCCCCUCCCAUCGCCGUUCUCGAGUUCUUUCGAUGAAGUUUUCUCUCUCAUUUUCUUGCUAAAAACGACAGAACCAGUCAAAAUUUGUGCAGAUCUUUUUUCUGGAACAAUAGAAACGAUGCGCUGUUCUUCCCUCAUUCUCCAGGUAAAGGAAGAACCCAGAAGAGAUAUGUUCACUGAAGGACUUGACAGGAGCGCCCUUCAUGGGGUUAGAAAGUGAUUGAAUUCUGGGUUUUUAGCCGUACCCAAUUUUAGUCGACCCAUGGAGCAUAGGGCGUUUGCCCCUGUUUGCUUUCCUUUUCUCACCAGACAUCUCUGCCAGCAUGAUCCGCCAAACUCGCCGAUCGCGUCUGCUCUCGUGGACUAGGUCUUCUACUCCCUAAAAGGCUGAUUAACACCAGCAACCACAACACCAACAAGGACUACUGCAGCUUAGGUACAAUUAAACAACCAUAAUUCCCAAGUUUUGAUUAUUAUUUUUUACUAAUUUGCUAUCUUUUAAAUAUAAUCAUACCAUCCGUGUUGAUAUGAACAGUCCAUAAUGUGUUUAUUGUGUUGAAAGAUGCGGAAAAAAAUGAAAAAUUUGGUGUGAGUUUGUUGCGUUUUGGUUUAAUAGUUUGGGGAAUGUGGAGUUGUUACUUCAAAAUUGAAAUUUAAUGGGAAUGCCAUGAUUGAAAUUUUAUAGCAAUGAUGAAUGAGCCAAUCUGAAAUACCAAAUUACAGCUGAUGAACUCACUCCUAUAUGACUAUUACUGCAUAUACUCAUCUUUUAUUUCGUUGGAUUUUAUUUUUAUUUCAUUUUUUUUGGUUUUGCAAAGAACUGAAUUUUAUCUUAUCUAUAGCUCUAUACGCAUGUAGUUUUUCUCUUUUUUGGUUUCGAGUAUGUGGUUGGUUUUAUUUAACAAUCUUUUGGAAUAUAGAGAAUCUUUGCAUCAAUGUCUUAUUCUUGGAUUUCCUGAUGAUUUGGCAUUGAGAUGUUAAGCAAAGGUGUCCCAUGGGAACCACAGAUUGUUCGAAACUAUCUCAAAGAAGUGGAGAGAUUUGUUACGUAGCUCCAGACUAUGCCAACUAUGAAGCUCUAGAAAAAUGGUGCGGAAAUUGGCUGUUUGUCAUUGAUGAGAAGGAAAGGUUUUGUUCUUCAUUUCUUGCUAUAUCAUCUAGGGUUGUGCAAACUAUUCAUUAUAGGGGAUCCCUUCAUGUAUAUAGUUGUUUCUUGCUAAGAUUUCCGCAAACUAUUUUUGUUAUGUCGAAGUUGAAAUCUUUUUUUACGAUUGUAAAUAGAUUUCACAUGUAUGCAAAUAGUAUAUAUACACAUUAUAACUUUCUACAUAUUUUGUACAGUUUCAAAACCCGCGGCAUCGCGCGGGCACUCUUGCUAGUUUCUCCUAAACUCAAAUUCUCGCCAGUAAGUGAUCUUUUGGCCAUAGUAUGUGUUCAAACAAUGCCAAUUUCCACUUUCAUUGAUUGUGUUCAGAAUGUCUAUAACUCUAUGUUGCUGUUAUUGUAUGCAACAAACCAUCAUUUUCCAUUGAUACCCUUGAGAAAUUUGAAAAUGCAGGAGUGCCGUUAUAAGAAAGUAAUACCUUCCUUUCGUGGACAUGAGCAAAGGGUGUAACGCAAGGUUGGGCAGAUAGUUUUUUGUUCAUAAGCAUGAAAAACCUUGCCAGUAAUUCAUACCAUGUUGCGAAGAAAAUACAACAUUGUAGCGGUCCAACUCUUUAAUUGUUGUAACAAAUAAAUUCCCAUCCUCUAA